rnacentral:rRNA from 1 species
GACGAACGCUGGCGGCGUGCUUAACACAUGCAAGUCGAACGGAAAGACCCUGCGUUUGUGGGUUGCUCGAUUGGCGAACGGGUGAGUAACACGUGAGUAACCUGCCCUUGACUUUGGGAUAACUUCAGGAAACUGGGGCUAAUACCGGAUAGGAGCUCCUGCUGCAUGGUGUGGGUUGGAAAGUUUCGGCUGUUGGGGAUGUACUCGCGGCUUAUCAGCUUGUUGGUGGGGUAGUGGCUUACCAGGGCUGGGACGGGUAGCCGGCCUGAGCGGGGGAUCGGCCGCCCGGGAAGUGAGACAGGCGCCAUAGGCCUACGGGACGGACCAGUAGGCAAACGGACGCAAUGGGCGGAAGCAUUACGGAACGGGGCGGAGUCAGAGAGGAAAAUCGCCGGAUCGGAAAACUCGGCUUUGGGGUGUAAACCAAUUUCGAAGGUGACGUAGACGGAGUGACGGUAAUGGGUAAAAAAGCCACGGCUAACUACGUG